rnacentral:rRNA from 1 species
ACUCCUACGGGAGGCAGCAGUUAGGAAUCUUGCGCAAUGGGGGAAACCCUGACGCAGCGACGCCGCGUGCGGGAUGAAGGCCCUCGGGUUGUAAACCGCUUUCAGCAGGGACGAAAUUGACGGUACCUGCAGAAGAAGGCCCGGCCAACUACGUGCCAGCAGCCGCGGUAAUACGUAGGGGCCUAGCGUUGUCCGGAUUUAUUGGGCGUAAAGAGCUCGUAGGCGGUUCGGCAAGUCGGAUGUGAAAUCUCCACGCUCAACGUGGAGGGGCCAUUYGAAMCUKCCGUGACUCGAGUCCGGUAGGGGAGUGUGGAAUUCCCGGUGUAGCGGUGAAAUGCGCAGAUAUCGGGAGGAACACCAGUAGCGAAGGCGGCACUCUGGGCCGGUACUGACGCUGAGGAGSGAAAGCGUGGGGAGCGAACAGGAUUAGAUACCCUGGUAGUCCACGCCGUAAACGUUGGGCACUAGGUGUGGGACUCUAUCGACGGGUUCCGUGCCGUAGCUAACGCAUUAAGUGCCCCGCCUGGGGAGUACGGCCGCAAGGCUAAAACUCAAAGGAAUUGACGG